UGCCUGCUUUUGUAUUCCCUGUGUUCUC
rnacentral:piRNA from 1 species